ACUCAAUAGAUACCCGGGUAGUCCACGCCCUAAACGAUGUCGACUGGUUGUUGGGGGUUUGACACUCUCAGUAAACGAAAGCUAAACGCGUGAAGUCGACCGCCUGGGGAGUACGGCCGCAAGGUUAAAACUCAAAGAAAUUGACGGGGACCCGCACAAGCGGUGGAUUAUGUGGAUUAAUUCGAUGCAACGCGAAAAACCUUACCUACCCUUGACAUGUCCGGAAGGCUGCUGAAAGGCGGCUGUGCCCGAAAGGGAACUGGAACACAGGUGCUGCAUGGCUGUCGUCAGCUCGUGUCGUGAGAUGUUGGGUUAAGUCCCGCAACGAGCGCAACCCUUGUCAUUAGUUGCUACCCGCAAGGGAGCACUCUAAUGAGACUGCCGGUGACAAACCGGAGGAAGGUGGGGAUGACGUCAAGUCCUCAUGGCCCUUAUGGGUAGGGCUUCACACGUAAUACAAUGGCGCGUACAGAGGGUUGCCAAGGAGCGAUCUGGAGCCAAUCCCGUAAAGCGCGUCGUAGUCCGGAUUGCAGUCUGCAACUCGACU
rnacentral:rRNA from 1 species